rnacentral:lncRNA from 10 species
CCGAGAUUGUGUGCUGAGGGUUUUCAACUGCAUCUCUAAAGGGAAGGCCAAAGAAAGAGCAACAGGAAAGGAUGUGGCAGUCUGUUAAAGAAAUACUUCAUUGUCACUGAACACAGAGUCAUUAAAGGCACCUUGGAAAUUUGGACCCUUUUACUAGAAUCAGGGCUUAAAUAGCAACUUAAUUUAUGACACUUCUCGAGGCUGAUGGCGUUUUUGCUCUAAGACCUGCCUUGCAAGAAAUGUUAAAAGAAGUGCUUUAGAGAGCAGGGAAAUUCUAUAGGUCAGACACUUGGAUCUACAUAAAAAAAGGAAGAAACCAAAGGAGAAAUAAGUGAAGGCAUGGAAACCUUGUUCCACACAUUGCCUGGUGCCCUGUCCAGCGCUGCAAGGUGCACUGCGUCUCCUCUGCCCAGCAAGCCACAAGCCCCUCCAGGGUGAGAGGAGAGCCUUCCCUUCCCUUGGUCCUCCCUUCGACACAGGGAGCUGGAGCUGGACAGCCCCAUAGGCACUCAGGGCUUGAAGAAGAUAUCUAGAAAUGUCAAAGCAGAAGAGCCUCGGAGAUAAUCUGAACUAUUUCUGAGUUUAUAUAAGGGAAAACUGAGACUGGAGAGAACUAACAUGUCUAAUAUUACAAUGGAAACUUGUAAUAAAACCACAAAUUGAGUCAAGUCUCCUGA